rnacentral:tRNA from 4 species
GGGUCGUUAGCUCAGUCGGUAGAGCAGUUGACUCUUAAUCAAUUGGUCGCAGGUUCGAACCCUGCACGACCCACCA